UGCCCAGCAACUCCUAUCCCUACCUCCUCGUGGUACUGCCAGGGGUACGAGUAACCUUGGGGAAGAUCGGGUAACCAACCCCCGGUGGGAACUUUGGUCGUAUGCUGACAGGGAAGG
rfam:Aedes aegypti strain Liverpool supercont1.1168 genomic scaffold, whole genome shotgun sequence.